rnacentral:rRNA from 1 species
CCUACGGGAGGCAGCAGUGAGGAAUAUUGGUCAAUGGACGAGAGUCUGAACCAGCCAAGUAGCGUGAAGGAUGACUGCCCUAUGGGUUGUAAACUUCUUUUAUAUGGGAAUAAAACGUUCCACGUGUGGGAUUUUGUAUGUACCAUAUGAAUAAGGAUCGGCUAACUCCGUGCCAGCAGCCGCGGUAAUACGGAGGAUCCGAGCGUUAUCCGGAUUUAUUGGGUUUAAAGGGAGCGUAGGUGGAUUGUUAAGCCAGUUGUGAAAGUUUGCGGCUCAACCGUAAAAUUGCAGUUGAAACUGGCAGUCUUGAGUACAGUAGAGGUGGGCGGAAUUCGUGGUGUAGCGGUGAAAUGCUUAGAUAUCACGAAGAACUCCGAUUGCGAAGGCAGUUCACUGGACUGCAACUGACACUGAGGCUCGAAAGUGUGGGUAUCAAACAGGAUUAGAUACCCCGGUAGUC